CGGACGGGUGAGUAACGCGUGGGUAACCUGCCUUGUACUGGGGGACAACAGUUGGAAACGACUGCUAAUACCGCAUAAGCGCACAGCUCGCAUGAAGCAGUGUGAAAAACUCCGGUGGUACAAGAUGGACCCGCGUCUGAUUAGCUGGUUGGUGAGGUAACGGCCCACCAAGGCGACGAUCAGUAGCCGGCCUGAGAGGGUGAACGGCCACAUUGGGACUGAGACACGGCCCAA
rnacentral:rRNA from 1 species